UUAGAGUUUGAUCCUGGCUCAGGAUGAACGCUAGCGACAGGCCUAAUACAUGCAAGUCGAGCGGGAGGCCCCUCCGGGGGCCGAGAGUGGCGCACGGGUGCGUAACGCGUAUGCAACCAACCCCCGACAGUGGGAUAGCCGGUGGAAACGCCGGGUAACCCCCCAUAGCCCUGGUGGAGGGCAUCCUCCGCCAGGUAAAGCCGAGAGGCGGUCGGGGACGGGCAUGCGUCCCAUUAGCUGGUAGGCGGGGCGACGGCCCACCUAGGCGACGAUGGGUAGGGGAUCUGAGAGGACGGUCCCCCACACUGGUACUGAGACACGGACCAGACUCCUACGGGAGGCAGCAGUAAGGGAUAUUGGGCAAUGGGGGCUACCCUGACCCAGCCAUGCCGCGUGAGGGAAUGAGGCCCUACGGGUCGUGAACCUCUUUUGCACGGGGAUAACGGCGCCCACGUGAUGGGCGCGUGCAGGUACCGUGCGAAUAAGCAUCGGCUAACUCCGUGCCAGCAGCCGCGGUAAUACGGAGGAUGCGAGCGUUAUCCGGAUUCAUUGGGUUUAAAGGGUGCGCAGGCGGCGCGACAAGUCAGCGGUGAAAUCCGGGGGCCCAACCCCCGAAGUGCCGUUGAUACUGCCGCGCUGGAAUGCGGUCGAGGCGGGCGGAACGUGGCGUGUAGCGGUGAAAUGCAUAGAUAUGCCACAGAACCCCGAUAGCGAAGGCAGCUCGCCAGUCCUGCAUUGACGCUCGGGCACGAAAGCGUGGGGAUCGAACAGGAUUAGAUACCCUGGUAGUCCACGCCGUAAACGAUGGACGCUCGUCGUCGGCGACAGACAGUCGGCGGCCAAGCGAAAGUGAUAAGCGUCCCACCUGGGGAGUACGGUCGCAAGGCUGAAACUCAAAGGAAUUGACGGGGGCCCGCACAAGCGGUGGAGCAUGUGGUUUAAUUCGAUGAUACGCGAGGAACCUUACCCGGGCUGGAACGGAGGGGGAACGAGCCGGAGACGGCGAGGUCCUUCGGGACUCCCUCCGAGGUGCUGCAUGGUUGUCGUCAGCUCGUGCCGUGAGGUGUCGGGUCAAGUGCCAUAACGAGCGCAACCCCUACCGCCGGUUACCAUCGGGUUAUGCCGGGGACUCCGGCGGCACUGCCAUCGCAAGAUGCGAGGAAGGCGGGGAUGACGUCAAAUCAGCACGGCCCUUACGUCCGGGGCCACACACGUGUUACAAUGGGGGGCACAGCGAGCAGGUGCAUGGCGACAUGCAUCGAAUCAUGAAAUCCCCUCCCAGUUCGGACUGGAGUCUGCAACCCGACUCCACGAAGCUGGAUUCGCUAGUAAUCGCGCAUCAGCCAUGGCGCGGUGAAUACGUUCCCGGGCCUUGCACUCACCGCCCGUCA
rnacentral:rRNA from 1 species